rnacentral:piRNA from 1 species
UCCAAUGGGAUGUGGAAGAGUGUGGU